rnacentral:lncRNA from 1 species
AUUGUCCCAACUUGCGCCACAUCUGUUUGCAAACAGGCCGAAAACAUUAUUUGGGCCCCUUUGAAUUGUAUGGUAAAGUUGCUCAUGAUUCUCCAUUUCACGAGGAUUUACCUAGAUUAGACGCCCCCAAUUUCUAUUACACUCUUGAGGAUGUUUUGUUUAAGGAGGUGGAGAAGAAGGAAGGACUGACAUGGUCAGUUCAUAGGCCCGGGACAAUAUUCGGGUUUUCACCGUAUAGUUUGAUGAACAUUGUUGGAACGCUUUGUGUUUACGCAGCUAUAUGUAAACAUGAAGGGUUGCCAUUGAAGUUUCCAGGCGUUAAAGCAGCGUGGGAUGGAUACUCGGAUUGCUCGGAUGCAGAUUUGAUUGCUGAGCAUCAGAUAUGGGCUGCAGUGGAUCCGUAUGCUAAGAAUGAGGCGUUUAAUGUGAGCAAUGGGGAUGUUUUCAAGUGGAAGCAUUUCUGGAAGGUUUUGGCGGAGCAAUUUGGAGUGGAAGCCGCAGAGUUUGAUGAAGUGAAUAGGUGCACUUUGGCAGAGAUGAUGAAAGACAAAGGUCC